rnacentral:lncRNA from 1 species
AGAAGCAGGACUUUUCACAGACAGUAGGAGCUGCGAAAGCAAAGAGAGUAUCUUCUAAAGAUUUCUUUAUAUAUUUAAACCCCACAACUGAAACCGUAUCGCAUCCUAGUGUUCGUUUGCGGAGAGGAUUCCCUGAGAGCGGUGUGGGCCCCUGCAUGACAGUCCCCCGGAAGCGGAGCCAGUCCUGGGCUGGGCUGCACAUUCAGAAAACUUCCUGCAACCCUGGGGUUUGGCUUUAGUUUUCUUCUCCUUGAUUUCUCGGUAGGUGCUAGCAUCAGUCCUCGCCCUGCACUGCGCGCAGACACACCUGGUCUGUGUGUGCCGGUGCCCACGGGCAUGCAGAUAGGCAGCAUAUGAGUGUGGGAUCCAAGAGCUAUAAUUUUUAAAGAAUCUUUUAUUUUAAUACAUUGUAGGAAAUCUUCAUAAUUUGAAAAAGUUCUGCAGCAUGGCUUUUUAUGUCUGUAAAUAAAUAAUUUUAGAACAGCCUUUUUUUUUUCCUUCCACAAACUACUAUUCUGGUCUAUUUUUUCCAGCCAUGUCACUGAUUGUGAAUUCCUACCAGCUAUUGACAGAAUACAGAGUUGAUUUUUUAAUAAAAAGUUCUAUAUAAUUAUCCCUUUCAUUAAAGGGAGAGAUGGGCGUUACUAACGACAGGCAGGCAGAAGCGUGGGCCCAGGUGCGGCUGCGGCAGCGAGCGUGGGCGUUGGCAGGGACAGUGUUAGACGCGGCGUUUUGUUGGUUUUCUUGGGUCCGUAGCCGGCACGCGUGGACGGCGGUCAGGUGGCGCCUCUGGUUUUGCACAAGGAGAGCAGAAAAUUCAAGGAAAUGAUUCCAUGCAGAUAACUCAGCACAUGAAAGACCCCAGGGCACACACUUGCCAAAGGAACCCGGGACGAGAGCUGCGCUGUGGUGCACAGCAUCGCUCACAUCUUCUGUGAGGACCCAGCCGCGUCCUUGCCACCUGCUGAGGCUGCUGCUGAGCGGGAGGCCUGCAGGUUGUAGGUGGGGCCUGCGUUUGCCCUUCAGGAGCAGUCCUGUGCGUGGUGACCCACACUGGAUUGGGAAACUCCUUCAGUCCCACUCUUCAUCCUGGGAGUGGGGAUAGGAAUCCCAGCUGCAAAUGUGAAGUGGGAAGCAGGCUUCCCCCCGGGAGGCGCCGCCUUGCAGGAGGUCAGGCCCCGGGAGCAGCGCUGUCCUGGGGAGAGCCGGCUGCCGAGUGCUGAUACCACGCACUUCCCCCAGCGCAGACGGGGGCACACGGAGCUGUCUGCGUGUUGCUCAGGCUUCUCGCCAGGACGGGACCUCUUCCAGUCCUCGCUCAGACUCGCAGGGGCUUCUCUGCCCUGUGUGUGGCGGUCACGUCCAUGAAUCUUGGGACAACCCACUCUGCUGCGUGGUGGACGUGAUGUGCGUGCCGGACCCAGACUGCGCUGGG